UACGUAGGGGGCGAGCGUUGUCCGGAUUUAUUGGGCGUAAAGAGCUCGUAGGCGGUUCGGCAAGUCAGAUGUAAAAACUCCAGGCUCAACCUGGAGAGGCCAUCUGAUACUGCCGUGACUAGAGUCCGGUAGAGGAGCACGGAAUUCCUGGUGUAGCGGUGAAAUGCGCAGAUAUCAGGAGGAACACCAGCGGCGAAGGCGGUGCUCUGGGCCGGAACUGACGCUGAGGAGCGAAAGCGUGGGGAGCGAACAGG
rnacentral:rRNA from 1 species